rnacentral:rRNA from 1 species
UACGUAGGGGGCAAGCGUUGUCCGGAAUCAUUGGGCGUAAAGAGCGUGUAGGCGGCUCGAUAAGUCUGCUGUGAAAGACCGGGGCUCAACUCCGGUUCUGCAGUGGGUACGGGCAGACUAGAGUGCAGUAGGGGAGACUGGAAUUCCUGGUGUAGCGGUGAAAUGCGCAGAUAUCAGGAGGAACACCUAUAGCGAAGGCAGCUUGCUGGGACGUUACUGACGCUAAGGCGCGAAAGCGUGGGGAGCGAACAGG